ensembl:lncRNA
CAUUAUGAUGGCUUUAGUGUAAUAUAUUAGGGGGUCUUAAUGCAUUAUGAUGGCUUUAGGGUGAUAUAUUAGGGGGGGUCUUAAUGCAUUAUGAUGGCUUUAGGGUGAUAUAUUAGGGGGUCUUAAUGCAUUAUGAUGGCUUUAGUGUAAUAUAUUAGGGGGUCUUAAUGCAUUAUGAUGGCUUUAGGGUGAUAUAUUAGGGGGUCUUAAUGCAUUAUGAUGGCUCAAAGGCUGUGAUCAUCAACUAGAUUCUGCAGGUCAAUUACAAAAAAAAUACAAAGUUUGUUGUUCAGAUGGUUGGGGGGCCUGGAACGUAAUCCCAAAAAUAAUUAGCAGACUGCAAAUUGACCGCAAGAAGCCCUAACAGAUAUUUUUCAAACUUUGCCUACGUUUAUAUAUGAUCUUGUGUUUCUCUCUGCGUGGGAAUACUUGGAACCGGUUUACAAAAUUAAAAUCACUUGGAGCUGAUUUCCUGGUGGCUGAUGUAAAAAGGGCUUUAUGAAUUAGAUUUUAGUUUUUAAUGUCCAACAAUAAAUGCAAAAUAAAGCCACUCGCGGGACGCUAGUUGGGGAAUCCUGCGUCAGUAUUACAACCUUAGUCUGAAAUGGAUUCAAAAAUAAAUCCAUGACUAAGUGAAAACAGGUUUAAGACAUUUUUGCGAAUGUAUUGAAAAAAAACAGACAGACAAUUUGCUUUGUAGAAAUUGAGCUCCGGUGCAUCCUGUUUUCCAUUGAUCAUCCUUGAGAUGUUUCUCAACUUGAUUGUAGGUCCACCUGUGGUAAUUUAUUGGACAUGAUUUGGAAAGGCACACAUCUGCCGAUAUAAAGGUCCCACAGUUGACAAUGCAAAAACCAAGCCAUGAGGUCGACGGAGUUGUCCGUUAGAGACGGGAUUGUGUCACGAGGCAGAUCUGGAGAAUGGCACCAAAACGUGUCUGCAGCAUUGAAAGUCCCCAAGAACAGUGGGGACUUCAAUAAAUAAACUUUGGAACCACCA